AGCCGUUGAUGACAAAUUUGAAAAUACAUUUGACACCUUCUAUGACAGCUGAACUACAGCUUGUGAUUCAAACUUUAAUCUGAGGCUU